rnacentral:rRNA from 1 species
AUUGAACGCUGGCGGCAUGCUUUACACAUGCCAGUCGAACGGUAACAGGCCGCGAGGUGCUGACGAGUGGCGAACGGGUGAGUAAUGCAUCGGAACGUGCCCAGUCGUGGGGGAUAACUACUCGAAAGAGUAGCUAAUACCGCAUACGAUCUAUGGAUGAAAGCGGGGGACCGUAAGGCCUCGCGCGAUUGGAGCGGCCGAUGUCAGAUUAGGUAGUUGGUGGGGUAAAGGCUCACCAAGCCAACGAUCUGUAGCUGGUCUGAGAGGACGACCAGCCACACUGGGACUGAGACACGGCCCAGACUCCUACGGGAGGCAGCAGUGGGGAAUUUUGGACAAUGGGCGCAAGCCUGAUCCAGCAAUGCCGCGUGCAGGAAGAAGGCCUUCGGGUUGUAAACUGCUUUUGUACGGAACGAAACGGCUCUGGUUAAUACCCGGGGCUAAUGACGGUACCGUAAGAAUAAGCACCGGCUAACUACGUG